rnacentral:rRNA from 1 species
UAAGCGAAGCAUGAAUCUUAUGGCUCAACCAUAUGACUAUGCUUUGAACUGCUUAGCUUGAAGGCGAGAGAGGUAACUGGAAUUUCUAGUGUAGGAGUGAAAUCCGUAGAUAUUAGAAGGAACACCGAUGGCGUAGGCAGGUUACUAGCUCGCUCUUGACACUAAGGCACGAAAGCGUGGGAGCAAAUGGGAUUAGAUACCCCAGUAGUCCACGCCGUAAACUAUGCUUGCUA